AUGUUUAAAAAAACAUAUGCUGAGAACCUGCCUGCACUUGAAGGAAAGCAGCAGUGGGAUAUUGUAGACCCUGGUUUCAAACUAAGUCCACCUCUACAGAACAAAGCUGCACCUGGCAGGCCAAUGAAGACAAGAAUUAAGCCAGCAAGUGAAGGAAAAGGACUUGGUCCUAGGAAGAGAAAAUGCAAGAGGUGUGGUGGCUUGGGUCACUUACUGAAAACCUGCAAAAAAGCCAUUGAUCCAGCAUUUGGUAAAGAAGAUGCACACUGGGGAGCUGACAAUGCAGAAGAAGACCCUCCUAACCAAAAUGUAGACCUACAUGAUGAACAACAAGAAGAAGAGGAGACAUACAGUGAAGAUGAAGCUCCAGUGCAGAUGAAGCUCUAG
rnacentral:rRNA from 1 species